CCUACGGGAGGCAGCAGUGGGGAAUAUUGGACAAUGGGCGAAAGCCUGAUCCAGCCAUGCCGCGUGUGUGAAGAAGGCCUUCGGGUUGUAAAGCACUUUCAGUGGGGAAGAAAGCCUUGGGGCUAAUACCCUCGAGGAAGGACAUCACCCACAGAAGAAGCACCGGCUAACUCCGUGCCAGCAGCCGCGGUAAUACGGAGGGUGCGAGCGUUAAUCGGAAUUACUGGGCGUAAAGCGCGCGUAGGCGGUCUGAUAAGCCGGUUGUGAAAGCCCCGGGCUCAACCUGGGAACGGCAUCCGGAACUGUCAGGCUAGAGUGCAGGAGAGGAAGGUAGAAUUCCCGGUGUAGCGGUGAAAUGCGUAGAGAUCGGGAGGAAUACCAGUGGCGAAGGCGGCCUUCUGGACUGAAACUGACGCUGAGGUGCGAAAGCGUGGGUAGCAAACAGGAUUAGAUACCCGAGUAGUC
rnacentral:rRNA from 1 species